UACGUAGGGGGCUAGCGUUGUCCGGAAUCAUUGGGCGUAAAGCGCGUGUAGGCGGUCCGGUAAGUCCACUGUGAAAGUCGAGGGCUCAACCCUCGAAUGCCGGUGGAUACUGUCGGGCUAGAGUACGGAAGAGGCGAGUGGAAUUCCUGGUGUAGCGGUGAAAUGCGCAGAUAUCAGGAGGAACACCAAGUGCGAAGGCAGCUCGCUGGGACGUUACUGACGCUGAGACGCGAAAGCGUGGGGAGCAAACAGG
rnacentral:rRNA from 1 species